AGACAAACAGGAGGCAGGAACAUCCCAAGGGCCCGGUAUGAAACGCGAACGGGUUCAAACGGGGCUGGAAGGGGAGCAAAGCCCCGAGAAAGGCCGAAGGCAGGCGCAAGUUCGGCUUCUGCCAAAGGCAGGGGGGAAGAUUUGGGGCAGGAGAGGGGAGAGGAGGGCAGCAAUUGUGGCAUCCAGAGGCUGAGGGCCCGGGCCCCCGAGACUGACCUGUGCCGUCGCUGGCGGACACGGAGAGCGCCGAGAGACGCAGGGGGGGAGCCCCGAGACCUUCAGCUUCUCCUCGGGCCCCCGGCUGAAGCCGCAGCACAACAAUGCCGACGAGAAGGGAGCGGGGAGGAUCCGGCUGGGGGGGGGCCAAGUUCCCCUUUUUCUGCCCCUCGGGCUCCGGGAGGGCGGCAGCGGAGAAGCGGGGCGAGGGUGGGAGCAAGAGGCCUCUGCCCCCCCAAGGCGAGAGGGCUGAGCCGAGAUGGGAAGAGCCCCCGCCGAAAAAAAAAAAAAAUAAAAAUAAAAAAUAAAAUUAAAAAAAAAAAAUUGAGGCUGGUGGUUCGAUUUUUUUUUUUUCUUCUUCUUCUUCUUCUCCUUCUUCCCUCGGUGAAAUUAAUCCCGGCUGUUGUGCUGCUGGUGCUUCCUCGCCGCCGCCACCAUCAUCAUCUUCAUCCUCCGGGGGGUCUCCUCCUCCUGCUGCCUCCUCACCGCCGCCAUCAGCCUCUUCCUCCUCGGCGCCGUCCUCCUCCUCCUCAUCGCCACAAGGAGGCGGGCGAAGGAGGGGAGAGGAGGAGGAAAAAAGAAAAAAAGCAGCUCACCGUCCUCUAGCAGCGGCUCCUUCCCCCUCCGACACCACCCUGCUGAAAAAUACCCGGGGGGGAGGCGGCGGGGCGAGAGGCCGAGCGGGCGCGGGGUCCCCAGCUCCACUCGCUCCUUCCCUCGCCCGUCGCUAAAUGGCUGCAGAAAGGGGAGCCGUAAGGAUGAGGAGGCUGAGGAUAAGUCCCAGGAGUCUCCGCUUCACAUCUUGUUGUGCAGGGAAGGAGGAGGAGGAGGAGGAGGGGUUGUUGUCCUGCUGGAGGCAGCGCCGAUCGCGGGCUGGGAAGGUGGGGGGCGGGCUCCGACACCCCUCGCUGCCCCCCCCCCCCCCUCCUCCACCACCUCCCCGCUCCGCUCCUUUCCCCCUUCCUCUUUUCUCUCAGGAGCGGGCUGCCCCCCCCUCGGGCGCAGGAGGCGCAGGGGCCGAGCCCACGGCAGGAGGAGGAGGAGGAGGAGGAAGGCGCCGGCCCCUCCCCCCCUCGCUGCCUACCUUCCCCCCUCCCGGGAUGGUGG
rnacentral:lncRNA from 1 species